GACCGGCGCACGGGUGAGUAACACGUAUCCAACCUGCCGAUAACUCGGGGAUAGCCUUUCGAAAGAAAGAUUAAUAUCCGAUAGCAUAUCAAGAUCGCAUGAUCUUGAUAUUAAAGAAUUUCGGUUAUCGAUGGGGAUGCGUUCCAUUAGUUAGUUGGCGGGGUAACGGCCCACCAAGACGACGAUGGAUAGGGGUUCUGAGAGGAAGGUCCCCCACAUUGGAACUGAGACACGGUCCAAACUCCUACGGGAGGCAGCAGUGAGGAAUAUUGGUCAAUGGACGAGAGUCUGAACCAGCCAAGUAGCGUGAAGGAUGACUGCCCUAUGGGUUGUAAACUUCUUUUAUAUGGGAAUAAAACAGGGUAUGCAUACCCUCUUGUAUGUACCAUAUGAAUAAGGAUCGGCUAACUCCGUGCCAGCAGCCGCGGUAAUACGGAGGAUCCGAGCGUUAUCCGGAUUUAUUGGGUUUAAAGGGAGCGUAGGUGGAUUGUUAAGUCAGUUGUGAAAGUUUGCGGCUCAACCGUAAAAUUGCAGUUGAAACUGGCAGUCUUGAAUACAGUAGAGGUGGGCGGAAUUCGUGGUGUAGCGGUGAAAUGCUUAGAUAUCACGAAGAACUCCGAUUGCGAAGGCAGCUCACUGGACUGCAACUGACACUGAUGCUCGAAAGUGUGGGUAUCAAACAGGAUUAGAUACCCUGGUAGUCCACACAGUAAACGAGGAAUACUCGCUGUUUGCGAUAUAGGUAAGC
rnacentral:rRNA from 1 species